CGCGUGCAGGAAGAAGGCUUCGGGUUGUAAACUGCUUUUGUACGGAACGAAAAGGUCUGCCCUAAUACGGCGGGCCCAUGACGGUACCGUAAGAAUAAGCACCGGCUAACUACGUGCCAGCAGCCGCGGUAAUACGUAGGGUGCGAGCGUUAAUCGGAAUUACUGGGCGUAAAGCGUGCGCAGGCGGUGAUGUAAGACAGUUGUGAAAUCCCCGGGCUCAACCUGGGAAUUGCAUCUGUGACUGCAUCGCUAGAGUACGGUAGAGGGGGAUGGAAUUCCGCGUGUAGCAGUGAAAUGCGUAGAUAUGCGGAGGAACACCGAUGGCGAAGGCAAUCCCCUGGACCUGUACUGACGCUCAUGCACGAAAGCGUGGGGAGCAAACAGGAUUAGAUACCUGGUAUCCACGCCCUAACGAUGUCAACUGGUUGUUGGGUGCAU
rnacentral:rRNA from 1 species